GGGGGUGCACUGGUUUCGACCUAUGCGGUUUGUGAUGUGCGCUGCAGGUGGAGUAGCCACUCUCCUUAACGUGGCAAAACCUUUAAGUGCCAACAAAAACGGCGCUCUCGCUCUCGCUGCAUAAGCAGUGAGCGACGGACGCCAUAGCGGACAGCUUCCGACGCUAUGGAUGUCUGUGACAUUAGGGAGCUUACCUCACUGGUGGUUCGGUGCCUAUGAGGGACAUCAAACCGGAAUAAGAAGCCGACAGCGUGCUGGUCUGCGCCCCGGCUUCCGACAAUGCAUUGACCAGAUAAACCUGUAGACGCGUGCAGCGCACGCAUGGGGACGGGGGUUCAAUUCCCCCCACCUCCAGCU
rnacentral:tmRNA from 1 species